rnacentral:rRNA from 1 species
UUGAGCGGAGAUAUAUGGAGCUUGCUUUAUAUAACUUAGCAGCGAACGGGUGAGUAACACGUAGAUAAUCUAUCCUAUACUGGGGGAUAGCCCGAUGAAAGUUGGAUUAAUACCGCAUAUAGCUAUAUAGUUGCAUGAUUAUGUAGUGAAAGAUUUAUUGGUAUAGGAGGAGUCUGCGGCACAUUAGCUAGUAGGUGAGGUAAAGGCUUACCUAGGCGACGAUGUGUAGCCGGUCUGAGAGGAUGAACGGCCACAAUGGAACUGAGACACGGUCCAUACUCCUACGGGAGGCAGCAGUGGGGAAUAUUGCACAAUGGGGGAAACCCUGAUGCAGCAACGCCGCGUGAGUGAAGAAGGUUUUCGGAUUGUAAAGCUCUGUUAGCAGGGAAGAGGAAGGACGGUACCUGCAGAGGAAGCCACGGCUAACUACGUGCCAGCAGCCGCGGUAAUACGUAGGUGGCAAGCGUUGUUCGGAAUAACUGGGCGUAAAGGAUGCGUAGGCGGUUAAACAAGUUAUAUGUUAAAUAUAUAGGCUUAACCUGUAGAAAGCAUAUAAAACUGUUUAACUAGAGUGCAGGAGAGGUAAGUGGAAUUCCUAGUGUAGCGGUGAAAUGCGUAGAGAUUAGGAAGAACACCAGUGGCGAAGGUGACUUACUGGACUGUAACUGACGCUGAGGCAUGAGAGCAUGGGGAGCAAACAGGAUUAGAUACCCUGGUAGUCCAUGCUGUAAACGAUGGGUACUAGGUGUGGGUUGUGAAUAAAAUUCGUGCCGUCGCAAACGCAAUAAGUACCCCGCCUG